rnacentral:lncRNA from 1 species
UUCUUUUUGUUUGCUGCCUUCCGUAGAAGAUGUGGCUUGCUCAUGCUUGACUUCUGCCAUGGUUGUGAGGCCUCCCCAGCCAUGUGGAACUGUUUUCAGGUGCUGGUUCCAUGGCUCUUCCUGAGCCGAAAAUAAGGAAACUCCAUAGACCUUGUCCACUGGAACUCGUUCCCAUCUACCCUCCACUCUAUCCAGGGUGAUGGAUCUCUGCAGUAAGUGGAAGAGUUCUUCAUGGCCCCCAAGGUUAUAUCCAUCUAGAACUUCAGCACGUAAUUUCAUCUGGAAAUAGUGCCUUUGCGGAUAUAAGUUAGGUAAAACUGAAGAUGAGAUCAUACUGGAUUAGGAUGGGAUCUAAAUCCAAUGAAAAUGUCUUCAUAAAAAACAGGAAAGAACCCAUAGAAACACAAGGAAGAAGGUCAUGUGAAGAUGGAGGCAGAGAUUGGAGGGAUGCAGCCACCGGCCCAGGAAUGCCAGCAGCCACCCAGAAGCUGGAAGGAAAUGAGGGAUUCUCUCCUAGAACCUUUAGAGAGAACAUGGUCCUGUGAACAGCUUGAUUUUGGACUUGCCCAUAGCUUGUAUACUCUUACUUUGGAUACAAUUUUAUCCAAACUUGGCUAAACAGUUUCUCAGCCUAUGGAAAAUUUAAAAUGGAGAAGAUUCAACUCGAUUCUUACAGAUUCAAAGCAAGAAAAUGAUGGGAACAUAGGAGGAGACCAAGAAAGCCUAUAAAAAGCAAAAAUAUGAAGUGAACAUUGUGGUAGCUUUAAGAUGUUUAGUGUAGCUGCAGGCACCCUAUACACAUGAAAACCCCCAAGGGGAAUCCCCAUAUCACAGUGUAGUGUGAUAUUUGACAUUCGUGAUCAUCUAGAGAUGUACAGAAAAGGUGAAUCUGUGUUCUGUAUAUUCUGCCUAAGGCAAAGAAAUGUUUAGCUCUCUUUAAAAUAGUUCCAUAAUUUUUUCUAAAAAGCUUUGCUUGAAAACUGUAAGCUUCCCAUAUCUGGAGCAUUUCACUUUAAAUAUUUGGAUAAAUAUGUUAUCUUCUUACUUGGACAUUUCAUGUGUUUAGGGAUUGUCUUCUAAAUUCUUCCUAAUUCAUAUAGCUGCUAACACUUCCCGCAGAGCUAAACCAUUACAGAUAUGAAAUAAAGACCUAUUGAUUUGACUUACUUUUACUUGUAAAACCUUCUGAGUGUUAUAACCUCAUUUAAUCUUUCAGCAUUUACAGUUUCAAGAGUUUGUGUCACAAUUAGAAGAAUUCAGCUGCACCUCCAAGUGACAGCAGUUGCUCUGGUUGGUGGGUGAUCUCAGGAGGCUUGAGAAUUGCUUUGUCUGUGAGGGAAGUAAGACAUUUUCAGAGCCCCACUUUAGAAGGUGUGAACUGGCUAGAUAAUGAACCCCAGGGCUAACGCUGCUAUAGCAGUGGGAAGGAGGUGAUGGGUUUUCAGUUUGGACCUCAAACAUCAAUACCCUCCUGGUACGGGGAGGAACAGAGUCCCUCCUUUACUUCUCCAUUAGAAAGAAUGAGAUGGCAAGACAAUGAAACAGGCAAAGUGAACAGAGAUGCAAGACAAAAUUCAGGUGAGAGAGCCAGAGCAUCACUCAGCCAUUCCUGACAUGUAAAACAGGCAACUAGAAAUUUGCAGAAAGGAAGCGAAGUCUCCAUAAAGAUGUUUUUAAAGUGAGCUUGAAGUAUUUGGAGACAAUUCAGUGUUACAUAAAAUCUGCAAAUCUCUGGAUAAAGAAGCAGAGAUCCCAGCAUGGGACAAAUGGAGCCUCAAAAGUGGGAAGAAGACAGAGAAGACCAGGGCAGAAUGCAUCUCUUCCUUUCUCUUGGCUUUCCUGGAUAAGGACUGCAUCAUUCCUGUGGAAGGACAGGCCAUCAGCUCCGAAACACUGUAUGUAUUUUCCAGUAUAUACUGCUAGCUGUGUGAUGUUGGGAAAAUUUGUUACCCUGUCUAACCCCCACUUCCCUCAUCUGUAAAAUGGAAAUAAUGAUAGUACCUACCUAUCUCAUAGGUGGCAACUACAAGGGGCAGCACACUCAGGGAAUUAAGGAAGUUUCAGUGAACAUCAACUUUAUGAACACAGUGUUCAUAAAGGCAGGUCAGUGCAGUGGUUUGGGAGCCAGGAGAAGCACGUGGGCCGGAGUGUGCCUGCAGGAGACAAGGUCAGAGAUGUUGCUAAUAAUGGAGAAUAAAGGAUGCAUUCUCAUUACUGA